UCCAUUCAUUUUCCCAAGCUUUCCAGUCGCAAUCAACUCGGUCCGUCUCCUCCUCCUCGUCGGCCGCUUCCCCGCCUUGAUCUCCCUCCAGCGUCGGGAUCAGGGCUGAGAUGCCGGGCGACGACCAGCCCUCGCGGCUUUUCUACGAGCUAUGCGCCCUCCUCCUCGCGGUCCUCCACACCCCCCACCUCGCCCUCCCGCCCUCCGAUGCCGACGCCUCCCCGCCAGCGCCGGCACCGACGAGGCAGGCGCGGCCCCGGGCCCAGAUGUCGCCGGCAGGGUUCGCCUCGCUCCUCCUCGGGGCGUCGUUGGCGCUCAUGCUCUGCGGCUCCGUCACGUUCGUGAUCGGGUUCAUCAUGAUGCCCUGGGUGGUCGGGCUCGUCAUGCUCUUCUACUUCGUGGGGAUCCUCUCGAAUCUGUCUGGGCUGGGUAGGGCUAUCGUUUAUCCCGGUAGCGACCCCUCGAGCCCCAAGGAAACGUCAGGGUUCUUGAUAGGCUAUUCUUCUGAAAUGAUUGCAACACAUUUGUUGAAUGGCCACACCUUUUUUGGAAGCCACAUGCCUGUUUUUCCCCAAUUUUUUCUUACCCAAGGGUGACGAUCUGUCGUAAUUGAGGAAAGAUGAGAUAAGAACCUGAUGAUUCAAGUCACGAGACAUUUGCUGAUCGGCCUGCUUUCGGCUCUUAGAUAUCACCUCAGGUGCUCACUGAUUUCUAAACUUCCAAUUAUCUAAUCGCCAAGCUGCUAACAGAAUAGUUUGCGAUAGACUUUUGGAGGUAGGAACAAUCUACUCUGCCACGAUCAUCUUAAUUCUCCCAUUCAAUGCCAGUUCGAUGGCUGCUCUUGUUUCAACAUUCUUUCUUCUGAUACCAUGUACCAGUUGUUGUUCUUUGGCUGCUUUUGCGGACCGCUGUCAUUGCAGAGUUUCAAAUAUUAUUAGUUGAAAACAUAUCAAGAUUCUGAUGUUCCUUUGGGAUGGUCAUCUCUACAGGAGGCUUGAUAGGGGCAGCCAUUGCUUGAACUUUAGACGCCAGAGAGAGAGAGAGAGAGAGAGAUUGUGUUCUCACUAACUGAAGCAGUGUAUUUAAUGCUUCUGCAUCACCAAUUACAAUUAUAUGUCCUACACAGUAACUUGGCCUGAAACAAAACCAUCUAUUCCUGACCUAUAACACAACCUCUGUGAUUAACCUGUUUUUGGUCUGUUAAUAAUGUGUGCUUUGAUCUCUUUGAUAUAUAGCUACAAAAGAUUUUCUGA